rnacentral:rRNA from 1 species
GGCCCUACGGGGCGCAGCAGGCGCGAAAACUUUACAAUGCGGGAAACCGUGAUAAGGGGACACCGAGUGCCAGCAUCAUAUGCUGGCUGUCCGGAUGUGUAAAAUACAUCCGUUAGCAAGGGCCGGGCAAGACCGGUGCCAGCCGCCGCGGUAACACCGGCGGCCCGAGUGGUGAUCGUGAUUAUUGGGUCUAAAGGGUCCGUAGCCGGUUUGGUCAGUCCUCCGGGAAAUCUGAUAGCUCAACUAUUAGGCUUUCGGGGGAUACUGCCAGACUUGGAACCGGGAGAGGUAAGAGGUACUACAGGGGUAGGAGUGAAAUCUUGUAAUCCCUGUGGGACCACCUGUGGCGAAGGCGUCUUACCAGAACGGGUUCGACGGUGAGGGACGAAAGCUGGGGGCACGAACCGGAUUAGAUACCCGGGUAGUCCCAGCCGUAAACGAUGCUCGCUAGGUGUCAGGCAUGGCGCGACCGUGUCUGGUGCCGCAGGGAAGCCG